GUGCCAGCCGCGGCGGUAAUACGGAGGGUGCAAGCGUUAAUCGGAAUUACUGGGCGUAAAGCGCACGCAGGCGGUCUGUUAAGUCAGAUGUGAAAUCCCCGGGCUCAACCUGGGAACUGCAUCUGAUACUGGCAGGCUUGAGUCUCGUAGAGGGGGGUAGAAUUCCAGGUGUAGCGGUGAAAUGCGUAGAGAUCUGGAGGAAUACCGGUGGCGAAGGCGGCCCCCUGGACGAAGACUGACGCUCAGGUGCGAAAGCGUGGGGAGCAAACAGGAUUAGAUACCCUGGUAGUCCACGCCGUAAACGAUGUCGACUUGGAGGUUGUGCCCUUGAGGCGUGGCUUCCGGAGCUAACGCGUUAAGUCGACCGCCUGGGGAGUACGGCCGCAAGGUUAAAACUCAAAUGAAUUGACGGGGGCCCGCACAAGCGGUGGAGCAUGUGGUUUAAUUCGAUGCAACGCGAAGAACCUUACCUGGUCUUGACAUCCACAGAACUUGGCAGAGAUGCCUUGGUGCCUUCGGGAACUGUGAGGCAGG
rnacentral:rRNA from 1 species